AUUGAACGCUGGCGGCAGGCUUAACACAUGCAAGUCGAACGAGUGGCGGACGGGUGAGUAAUGCUUGGGAAACUGGCUUAUGGAGGGGGAUAACUACGGGAAACGGUAGCUAAUACCGCUUACCACAGAGUGAGCCAACAUGGGAUUAGGUAGUUGGUGGGGUAAAGGCUCACCAAGCCGACGAUCUCUAGCUGGUCGGAGAGGAUGAUAAGCCACACUGGGACUGAGACACGGCCAAGACUCCUACGCGAGGUAGCAGUGGGGAAUAGUGCACAAUGGGCGCAAGCCUGAUGCAGCCAUGCGGCGUGUAUGAAGAAGGCCUUAGGGUUGUAAAGUACUUUCAGCGGGGAGGCGUUACCCGCAGAAGAAGCACCGGCUAACUCCGUGCCAGCAGCCGCGGUAAUAC
rnacentral:rRNA from 1 species